CCUACGGGUGGCAGCAGUGAGGAAUAUUGGUCAAUGGGCUUACGCCUGAACCAGCCAAGUCGCGUGAGGGAAGACUGCCCUAUGGGUUGUAAACCUCUUUUGUCAGGGAGCAACGCCGGCUACGUGUAGCCGGACGGAGAGUACCUGAAGAAAAAGCAUCGGCUAACUCCGUGCCAGCAGCCGCGGUAAUACGGAGGAUGCGAGCGUUAUCCGGAUUUAUGGGGUUUAAAGGGUGCGUAGGCGGACUGCCAAGUCAGCGGGAAAAGCGCGGGGCUCAACCCCGCUGCGCCGUUGAAACUGGCGGACUUGAGUGGGCGAGAAGUAAGCGGAAUGCGUGGUGUAGCGGUGAAAUGCAUAGAUAUCGCGCAGAACUCCGAUUGCGAAGGCAGCGUACCGGCGCCAGACUGACGCUGAGGCACGAAAGCGUGGGUAUCGAACAGGAUUAGAUACCCGGGUAGUC
rnacentral:rRNA from 1 species